rnacentral:rRNA from 1 species
UAACUUUCAGCAAUGGAUCUCUAGGCCCUCACGUCGAUGAAGAACACAGUGAAAUGUGAUACGUAAUGUGAAUUGCAGAAUUCAGUGAAUCAUCGAAUCUUUGAACGCACCUUGCACCUUUUGGUUAUUCCGAAAGGUACACCUGUUUGAAUGUCACGAAACCC